AGACGGCCGGGUAGAGCCGAAACCCGUAUUCCGGCGGUUAUUAUACGGGUUUGCCCCUUUUAAGGGGUCUGUUAGACAUGCUCUUAGUUUGUUACAUAAUUUGUGGUAUGAGUAGUUUGAUUCUAUAACAGCUGAUGACACUAUCAUCCUUUUUAGGUAUGCUGCUGACGUUACCAUUUGGACAGCUCAUUACUUCCAUUUUCGGACCAAUCUCUAAUGAUUUUUCAUUUGUCAUCAUCAACCAACGAGGUGAGAUCAGAAUCAUAUUUGCUAAGUUGUCGGUGCCUGAGCCACAUAGGUCGGGUUGUCCACACGGUUCACCGGCUAUUCUUUCCUUUAGGAUUCAUGAAUCUUGGUCUUCCAGCAAAGGUUGCAUACUAUAUAUGAGUUAUAAUUUACUUAAGGGAUAAGAUUAAGUCAAGAAAGUUGUUUUAAUUUACUUAAAAGUUAAAUACUACCACCGCCAGUGUAUUACGUGCAGCAGUUCUGAACCAUGUGCCUAUUUUACUGGAAUAUGAUACAUCAGAAAUCUUGGAAGCGAUAAUAAAAAACAUGUAUUCAAACACUAAUUUUGCAGGGCAUUUCUAAUUCUGUUUUUAGAAUGCAUGCCAAUCAGCCAAUAACUUACCUUUAGCAAAUGUUUCCCUCAUUCCUACAGGAAGACAAUGAAUGGUUGACCACCUGGAUAUGUUGAUUGUUAUUGUUUUAUUCUAGAAUGAUAUAUUGUGGUUUGGAAGUGCAUCCAUUUCAAAAGUUAAGAUGCACACAACACUUCUCAGAUACAGGAAUGUGGUGUUGAAUUAAGAGACUGGUUUAGAAAUCUCUAGACUGAUCUCUUAGCUUAUUCUUUUCACUAAAGUAGUGUCAGAAAGUGUGCCUAUCUUACUUCCCUGUCCUUUUCCCUCUUGAUCAUGCUAUUUUUGAGAAUAUAAAUUAUGAUCAACUGGGAUUUUCUUCCCGGCCCCAUUGAGAUGCAUGUUCAUUGAUGUUCUAUUUAAUUGUGCAUGGGAUGUUCCGAGCGCAUCAAUGUUAUGGGAUUCUAGACUCCAAGAGCUGCUUGGAUGCAAGAGCGUUCCCAUUUCAGAUUUAUGAAAGUUAGUUUCUUGCCACUUAAUCCUCAUUAACUGGCUAGGUUCUCGCUGUAUUUCUCUUUCCAGCGUCGGCUUCUGAAUUUACUUCAUAUGUUACUGCUAAUAUAUGCUUCCAGAUUUUUCAAUGGUACAGAGAUAUCUGCUCUACUCUUGCAUUCAUUCCCUUUGUUGUGCCAAUCAUUAUCCAUGCAGAUCUAGGAUUGUAGCGGGGCCAAAUAGCCCUAAGUUUACAUACUACGGUGUUCUUGAUAAAAUGGACAACGUAGAUUAUGUCUCUCUCCUGGAUCAUGGAUUUCUUCAAGCAAAGCUAGAUUAUUUGUGGUAGCCUGCAAGUGCUCUGUGUAAUCACUACAAGCAGUGGUAAAGUUUCUAGAAAGUGUGUUUGAAUAUCUUUUUGGCUACUACGACAGUCAGAUGUAUAUUGGUGUUGUUCAUGAAUGGUAGGCCCUUCCUUCAUUUUUUUUAUCAUAAAAGAGAAAGUAGCUUUAUCUAAACGUUUCCCUCUAGCAGCUCAAGAAGUUUUAUUGCAGGUAUCAAAAGAGGUUGAUGCAUUUUAAAUAGAUUGGCACUGGAAGAUUACUUGGUAAUAGAUUGAUCCUAGAGAAGAUGUAGUACGAUAAAAAGAUGAUCUCAGGAAUAUGGCUUUCUCUCCAUCGCAUGUUAAAUGCAGAUCAAUGUGCGUAAUUUUGCGGCACCACUAAAAUUGGUAACUCUUUUGCUGCAACACUUGCAAUUAUGUUUCUCUUUAACAGGUCUAGAGUGGUUGUAAUUAUACUAAAAUUGGUAACCCGAGCAUACGUAUCAGCUACGGAAAGGUUAGUGUGCUAAAAAAAUACAGAACUAGAGGCCUAGAUUAUAGUGGAGGAUUACAUUGGACUCAUUUCUAAAGGAUAACUUGCAAGUGACGCUGUUGAAUGAUGAAGCACUUUCAAUCAAGAUAACCCUUCAUGUCCUUAUAUGAAAUGUUGUCUUUCUUCUGAAUUGUGGAUUCACUGUGGAGAGCUUGAGCUCAUUCAGUAGACAACUGCGUAUGGGUCAGUUGGGUGUGUGGUUUCUCAGAUUGUUAACCUUAAGAUGUAUGGCUUGCCCUGCAACCUAAAUACGGUGGUAAAAACACAUACUACGGCAACAACCAACAGUUCAUCAAAUCUAUCCAAUACGGUUACUGUACAGGUGCACGUCAUGGUGUGCUACUGCUGAAGCUAUACCAAAGAGGCUACAACUUAUGGUCCUGCCACCGCACCUAGUUGACUGAACCCAGAUAGACCCAACUGACAAUUUUAAGUGUCCUGUACUCCAUCUGUUCCUAUAUGUUGAUGCCAUCAUGGGUGAAUCUCUUCCUGCUUAGGUGCUAUUAUGGUUCGAGGUCGUAUUCACUCGCUUAACUAACAAAAGGCAACCCCUGUUGAUGGUUUCUCGGUUCAAAAGCUAUGUGCAGAAGGUCAAGAGCUGAAGUCGCUUCAUGCACCCAGUGUAACUAGAAGGGCCAUACGACCACUGCUGAGUUUCCUAUAUGUUUUUAGGCACUAGGAAAGGCAUAUAUGGCCACUGCUUAAUUUUCUGUACCUUUCCAGGCGAUGACCUGAUAACUACCUCUUCCAACUAUUUAUUCCGCAUUAUGUGUUAUCA